UACGCUCACACUCUCUCUGAUUAUUUUAUUAGAGCGAGCGGUGGACUUGGAUGCUGCCUGGAACUUACUGUCAGGCUCAUCUCAAAUGAGUUAGUACGACUGCUAGUUAAACAUAGUACGGCGUGAUAACAUAACCCUCGCUGUUUUACGUCUGAUUAGGAGCCUGUGCUUCCAACCGUCCUCGGACAAUGACUGAUA
rnacentral:misc_RNA from 1 species